AUACGUAGGGUGCAAGCGUUAAUCGGAAUUACUGGGCGUAAAGCGUGCGCAGGCGGUUUUGAAAGACAGAGGUGAAAUCCCCGGGCUCACCCUGGGGACUGCCUUUGUGACUGCAAGGCUAGAGGAAGGCAGAGGGGGAAGGAAUUCCGGGUGUAGCCGUGAAAUGCGUAGAUAUGCGGAGGAACACCGAUGGCGAAGGCAAUCCCCUGGGCCUGUACUGACGCUCAUGCACGAAAGCGUGGGGAGCAAACAGGAUUAGAUACCCUGGUAGUCCACGCCCUAAACGAUGUCAACUGGUUGUUGGGUCUUCAUUGACUCAGUAACGAAGCUAACGCGUGAAGUUGACCGCCUGGGGAGUACGGCCGCAAGGUUGAAACUCAAAUGAAUUGACGGGG
rnacentral:rRNA from 1 species